GCCUUGGCUACAACAGGAAACAAAGCUCUACUUUGCUGCCAAACUCAUUAUCAAAGCACAUUGGUGUUUUCUAGUGUUAGUCCCAUUUGCCCAUCACACCACCAACUAUAUAGGCUCUCUGAAAUAUUGACAUUCAUUCAUUCAUUCAUUCAUUCAUUCAUUCAUUCAUUCAUUCUCUCCACCUCACCUACUAAGAGAAUCUAACUACAAAUACUAAAAAAAAAAAAAAAAAAAAAAAAACAAACAGGUACUUAGAUGGUUCAGACCAGGGUUCUUUUCCAGUUUGAUGGUCUUACUUACAAAAGACUCCAUUAGAAAGGAAACUACAAGGUUCCUAGUGCUGCCUUUUUAAUGUAUCCAUCUGUUUGCUGACUGUUAGCUAUGUCAAACAUCUUAGACUCCUGUCAAGUCAAGCUUUAUUCCAUUAUUCAUUACUUGUCUGUGGGUAAGCAUGUGAGCACAGGUCCUAUGAUGCAUGCAAGGAGGUCAGAAAACAUCUGUGGAAGUCGGUCCUCUUUCCACCAUGGGGAUUCUUCAGGAUUCGGGGCAAGCUCCUUUACCCACUGAGCCUUCUCGCUAGCCCAUUCUAUUGCUUUUGUAAACCUCAAAGAUACCAUGAGCACCUCAUUUCAAAUGAUCCCGUGUCUCGCUAAGGCCUUCUCAGCUUAUGUUACUUCUCAAUAGCUCAAAGUCAUCAUCUUCCAGCAUGCCACAGUUCUGCCUUCACCACCCAACUUUCAAGCUGUUCAUAAUACACCUACAGCCUUAAUACCAAAGAAUCUGUGGGUUUCAAUGUUCCUUCUACUUCCCACCCUUCUAUCUCCCACCAACCCCUUUGUGAACACUCUCCUGUGCAGCUGCAAAGGCCUGCUGACUGUUGGCUGGAACGUCCCCCUUGAAGGACUUAGUUAUUAGUCCUAGGAAGGUUCUCUGGCAACUUUCUCCCACAAAGUAAUUUCUCUCCUUCAUUCACUGUAAUAUUUUAGAUGGUGUAUUUCAAACUGUGUGAGAACUAAAAGCUUCCUAGACCAGGUUACGUAUUUAUAAACCUAACACUGUAGCAAUGUUUAUAGAAAUUGUCUGAUAUAUCAGCAUAUUAUCCAUUAUCAUCAAUAACCAACUCUGACAACUACAAACCAAAGUCAGACCAUCAAACCUGGAUCUAACUGAAAUCAACAGUCACGUCAGCCAGCCGAACUCAUCAGGGUAAUCUGUUGUUCAGCCAUAGACCAAAUGGGGUUAUUUUAUAUCCUUGUGUUUAUGUACACACACCACUUUCUAUUUAGAUAAUUUAUUUUAAUAUAUAUACUUUUUAAAUAAAUACACAAAGAUCACUAUUAACAUAGAUAAAAUUGCUUUUUAGCACUUUUAUCAUCUGCUUUUCCUGUCAAAGAGGUUGGGAAGGAUGAGAAUGCCAUUGUAUUCCUAGUACAUUCAAGGACUAAAUAAAAUUUAAAUGAAAAU
rnacentral:lncRNA from 1 species